rnacentral:tRNA from 1 species
GACCGCGUAGCUCAGUUGGCAGAGCAUUGGGCUAGUAUUCCAAAGGUCGUAGGUUCGAUUCCAACCGUGGCCG